rnacentral:rRNA from 1 species
CCUACGGGAGGCAGCAGUGAGGAAUAUUGGUCAAUGGACGAGAGUCUGAACCAGCCAAGUCGCGUGAAGGAUGACUGCCCUAUGGGUUGUAAACUUCUUUUAUAUGGGAAUAAAACGUUCCACGUGUGGGAUUUUGUAUGUACCAUAUGAAUAAGGAUCGGCUAACUCCGUGCCAGCAGCCGCGGUAAUACGGAGGAUCCGAGCGUUAUCCGGAUUUAUUGGGUUUAAAGGGAGCGUAGGUGGAUUGUUAAGUCAGUUGUGAAAGUUUGCGGCUCAACCGUAAAAUUGCAGUUGAAACUGGCAGUCUUGAGUACAGGAGAGGUGGGCGGAAUUCGUGGUGUAGCGGUGAAAUGCUUAGAGAUCACGAAGAACUCCGAUUGCGAAGGCAGUUCACUGGACUGCAACUGACACUGAGGCUCGAAAGUGUGGGUAUCAAACAGGAUUAGAUACCCUUGUAGUC